AGACUCCUACGGGAGGCAGCAGUGGGGAAUUUUCCGCAAUGGGCGAAAGCCUGACGGAGCAACGCCGCGUGAGGGAGGAAGGUCUUUGGAUUGUAAACCUCUUUUCUCAAGGAAGAAGUUCUGACGGUACUUGAGGAAUCAGCCUCGGCUAACUCCGUGCCAGCAGCCGCGGUAAUACGGGGGAGGCAAGCGUUAUCCGGAAUUAUUGGGCGUAAAGCGUCCGCAGGUGGUCAGCCAAGUCUGCCGUCAAAUCAGGUUGCUUAACGACCUAAAGGCGGUGGAAACUGGCAGACUAGAGAGCAGUAGGGGUAGCAGGAAUUCCCAGUGUAGCGGUGAAAUGCGUAGAGAUUGGGAAGAACAUCGGUGGCGAAAGCGUGCUACUGGGCUGUAUCUGACACUCAGGGACGAAAGCUAGGGGAGCGAAAGGGAUUAGAUACCCCUGUAGUCCUAGCCGUAAACGAUGG
rnacentral:rRNA from 1 species